rnacentral:lncRNA from 1 species
CAACGAUCUUUAUAAAGUUGUUUGAAGCGUCUAUGAUAAACAGAGAGCAAAUUAGAAUCCAAGGAAGUUGACAUGUCAUCACUUCAUUUUUUUGCGCCUGCGCAUAAAUCUGAGAGACGUGAGUUUGUCAUCAUUUUUUAUCUAGACAUAGGAUAGGUUGUGUGAAAAUAUUACUGAUGUUUAACGUUAAAAAUGGACCAAAAGAUUAAUGCUAAACAACAUUUGACAUGUUUGAACGAACAUAAAUAGAUUAUUUACUAGGUUUUUUUAGCUUUUCGGCGUGAUUUUAACAGCCCCACACCACGUUUUGUGGGAGCAUAAUGAACGCUAAGUACUUGGUGUUAUUUGGACAUAAAUUAUGAACUUUGUCAAAAGAAACCACAUUUGUUCCGGACCUGGAAUGCCUUCCGGACCUGGGAUCCUGCCUUCUGAUGGAGAUAAUCAAAGGUGGCGAAUCGCAUCUCUGCAUGUCUGGCAGACAUAUCAGUGUGGAUGACGGAUCACCACCUCAAGCUGAACCUCGGCAAGA